UACGUAGGGUGCAAGCGUUGUCCGGAAUUAUUGGGCGUAAAGAGCUUGUAGGCGGUUUGUCGCGUCUGCUGUGAAAUUUCGGGGCUCAACCCCGAACUUGCAGUGGGUACGGGCAGACUAGAGUGUGGUAGGGGAGACUGGAAUUCCUGGUGUAGCGGUGAAAUGCGCAGAUAUCAGGAGGAACACCGGUGGCGAAGGCGGGUCUCUGGGCCGAUACUGGCGCUGAGGAGCGAAAGCGUGGGGAGCGAACAGG
rnacentral:rRNA from 1 species